UACGUAUGUCGCAAGCGUUAUCCGGAAUUAUUGGGCAUAAAGGGCAUCUAGGCGGCCAGACAAGUCUGGGGUGAAAACUUGCGGCUCAACCGCAAGCCUGCCCUGGAAACUGUUUGGCUAGAGUGCUGGAGAGGUGGACGGAACUGCACGAGUAGAGGUGAAAUUCGUAGAUAUGUGCAGGAAUGCCGAUGAUGAAGAUAGUUCACUGGACGGUAACUGACGCUGAAGUGCGAAAGCCGGGGGAGCGAACAGG
rnacentral:rRNA from 1 species